rnacentral:rRNA from 1 species
UACGUAGGGGGCAAGCGUUGUCCGGAUUUACUGGGCGUAAAGAGCUCGUAGGCGGUCUGUUGCGUCGGCUGUGAAAACCCGGGGCUCAACUCCGGGCCUGCAGCCGAUACGGGCAGACUAGAGUUCGGCAGGGGAGACUGGAAUUCCUGGUGUAGCGGUGAAAUGCGCAGAUAUCAGGAGGAACACCGGUGGCGAAGGCGGGUCUCUGGGCCGAUACUGACGCUGAGGAGCGAAAGCGUGGGGAGCGAACAGG